rnacentral:rRNA from 1 species
GACGAACGCUGGCGGCGUGCUUAACACAUGCAAGUCGAACGAUGACUUCUGUGCUUGCACAGGAUGAUUAGUGGCGAACGGGUGAGUAACACGUGAGUAACCUGCCCCUGACUUCGGGAUAAGCCUGGGAAACCGGGUCUAAUACCGGAUACGACCACCGGCCGCAUGGCCUGGUGGUGGAAAGAUUUAUUUCGGUCAGGGAUGGACUCGCGGCCUAUCAGCNGGUUGGCGGGGUAAUGGCCCACCAAGGCGACGACGGGUAGCCGGCCUGAGAGGGUGACCGGCCACACUGGGACUGAGACACGGCCCAGACUCCUACGGGAGGCAGCAGUGGGGAAUAUUGCACAAUGGGCGCAAGCCUGAUGCAGCGACGCCGCGUGAGGGA